rnacentral:lncRNA from 1 species
AAAAAAGCUUUAUAAGGAGUUUGCUGUUCACCUUCUGACCUCUUCCAGACUUGUAUAUAAUGUAUUUCAAGGCGCUGUUUGUGGUAGUUAAAAUAUGGAUGAAAUAAAGUUAUCAGUUAAAAACAAUUUAAAUUAUAAUAUAAUUGUGUAAUAAAAUUGUAAACAUAAACAAGUACUAAAAUCAUUGCAUUUUACAUGUCC